UAGACAUGUUCGCUCAUAGAUAAGAAACACACACAUAUAAUAAAAAAAAAAAAAAAAAAAAAAAAAUUUACAACACGCAUCAAUACAACAUUUGUAAAUAUGCAGAAAAACGAGCAUGCACGUAAACACGGGAAUAAUAGUAUGGCAAUACGUGAACACAAAAAAGAUAAUAGGAAUAUUAAAAUAAAUAAUUCUACAUCGAGUAAAUAUAUUGUAGAUUUAAAAACAUAUUUAUAUAACUUAUGCAUCAAUUUUUCUUACAGUGACAUAUAUAAUGAAUAUAUAAAUAGACUAAGUUUAUGCUCAUACAAUAAUUGUGAUUAUGAUCAGAUAAAAAAUAAUUAUUCGAUUUCUAAACAUGAUUUGUUAAAAUAUUAUAAUUUUGCAUUUUAUGAUAAUGAUUUUGAUUUAUUCUCUAAUGAAAAUGAUGAUGAUGAUGAUGAUGUUUUCUGGAAUUACCAAGAUUGUGCUAGUGACACAGAAGAGGUAACAAAUUAUGUUAUAAAUAAGUAUAUUACAAAUGAACAUAAAAAAAUUGUUAAUAGGCGAAAGGCCAACGAAGAAGUUACUAAUAAUGAAAAAACUAAUGAAAAAACUACUAACAAACUUACUAUUGACAAACCGGAUGAAAUAUUGACGGAAAAAAAAAGUAAUUUUGAUAAUGAUCAUAUAAGGAAAUCAAACAAAAAUAACACUAAUGUUAUUUAUUUUUGCUCAAAAAUAAAGACACAUAAAUUUCUAACCACAACAAAUAAAAACGAGGUAGUGGACAACCUUACUAGUAACAAAAAAAAUAACCAAACAGUGUUAAAAAAUAACGUAAAUAACAAAAAGAAUUUUUUUAAAAAAAUAAUAAAAAAAACGGUUACUUUGUUUAUUAAUUUAAUAAAGAUUCAAACGAAAUAUACUUUAACUCCUAAUUUUAAUUCAUAUUUUUUAAAUCGUGAAGACAUAAACAAAAAAAAAAUAUUAAAUUCACAAAACGAACAUUACUUUAAUAUGUUAAAUAAUUUAGCAGAAAUUCAAAACGAUCAAGUUGUUGAAA
rnacentral:lncRNA from 1 species